UUGAAGAGUUUGAUCAUGGCUCAGAUUGAACGCUGGCGGCAGGCCUAACACAUGCAAGUCGAACGGUAACAGGAAGCAGCUUGCUGCUUCGCUGACGAGUGGCGGACGGGUGAGUAAUGUCUGGGAAGCUGCCUGAUGGAGGGGGAUAACUACUGGAAACGGUAGCUAAUACCGCAUAAUGUCGCAAGACCAAAGAGGGGGACCUUCGGGCCUCUUGCCAUCGGAUGUGCCCAGAUGGGAUUAGCUUGUUGGUGGGGUAACGGCUCACCAAGGCGACGAUCCCUAGCUGGUCUGAGAGGAUGACCAGCCACACUGGAACUGAGACACGGUCCAGACUCCUACGGGAGGCAGCAGUGGGGAAUAUUGCACAAUGGGCGCAAGCCUGAUGCAGCCAUGCCGCGUGUAUGAAGAAGGCCUUCGGGUUGUAAAGUACUUUCAGCGGGGAGGAAGGGAGUAAAGUUAAUACCUUUGCUCAUUGACGUUACCCGCAGAAGAAGCACCGGCUAACUCCGUGCCAGCAGCCGCGGUAAUACGGAGGGUGCAAGCGUUAAUCGGAAUUACUGGGCGUAAAGCGCACGCAGGCGGUUUGUUAAGUCAGAUGUGAAAUCCCCGGGCUCAACCUGGGAACUGCAUCUGAUACUGGCAAGCUUGAGUCUCGUAGAGGGGGGUAGAAUUCCAGGUGUAGCGGUGAAAUGCGUAGAGAUCUGGAGGAAUACCGGUGGCGAAGGCGGCCCCCUGGACGAAGACUGACGCUCAGGUGCGAAAGCGUGGGGAGCAAACAGGAUUAGAUACCCUGGUAGUCCACGCCGUAAACGAUGUCGACUUGGAGGUUGUGCCCUUGAGGCGUGGCUUCCGGAGCUAACGCGUUAAGUCGACCGCCUGGGGAGUACGGCCGCAAGGUUAAAACUCAAAUGAAUUGACGGGGGCCCGCACAAGCGGUGGAGCAUGUGGUUUAAUUCGAUGCAACGCGAAGAACCUUACCUGGUCUUGACAUCCACGGAAGUUUUCAGAGAUGAGAAUGUGCCUUCGGGAACCGUGAGACAGGUGCUGCAUGGCUGUCGUCAGCUCGUGUUGUGAAAUGUUGGGUUAAGUCCCGCAACGAGCGCAACCCUUAUCCUUUGUUGCCAGCGGUCCGGCCGGGAACUCAAAGGAGACUGCCAGUGAUAAACUGGAGGAAGGUGGGGAUGACGUCAAGUCAUCAUGGCCCUUACGACCAGGGCUACACACGUGCUACAAUGGCGCAUACAAAGAGAAGCGACCUCGCGAGAGCAAGCGGACCUCAUAAAGUGCGUCGUAGUCCGGAUUGGAGUCUGCAACUCGACUCCAUGAAGUCGGAAUCGCUAGUAAUCGUGGAUCAGAAUGCCACGGUGAAUACGUUCCCGGGCCUUGUACACACCGCCCGUCACACCAUGGGAGUGGGUUGCAAAAGAAGUAGGUAGCUUAACCUUCGGGAGGGCGCUUACCACUUUGUGAUUCAUGACUGGGGUGAAGUCGUAACAAGGUAACCGUAGGGGAACCUGCGGUUGGAUCACCUCCUU
rnacentral:rRNA from 1 species